GACGAACGCUGGCGGCGUGCUUAACACAUGCAAGUCGAACGGAAAGGCCCUGCUUUUGUGGGGUGAUCGAGUGGCGAACGGGUGAGUAACACGUGAGUAACCUGCCCUUGACUUUGGGAUAACUUCAGGAAACUGGGGCUAAUACCGGAUAGGAGCUCCUGCUGCAUGGUGGGGGUUGGAAAGUUUCGGCGGUUGGGGAUGGACUCGAGGCUUAUCAGCUUGUUGGUGGGGUAGUGGCCUACCAAGGCUUUGACGGGUAGCCGGCCUGAGAGGGUGACCGGCCACAUUGGGACUGAGAUACGGCCCAGACUCCUACGGGAGGCAGCAGUGGGGAAUAUUGCACAAUGGGCGGAAGCCUGAUGCAGCAACGCCGCGUGCGGGAUGACGGCCUUCGGGUUGUAAACCGCUUUCGCCUGUGACGAAGCGUGAGUGACGGUAAUGGGUAAAGAAGCACCGGCUAACUACGUG
rnacentral:rRNA from 1 species